GGUUGGGCUUCGUUUUUGCCAUUUUUGCAAAUAAUAAAAUGUGUGGUAUGAACUUAAUAAUUACAAUUUAUUCGGCCAUUUUUACAAAGUAUCCCUAUUUUUUAAACAAAACUUAAGGUUUAGUGGGAUUAAAUUAAUUUAAUUAUGUAUUUUAUUAUUUAUUUAAUAAAAAAGUUAAAUAAUUUGAGUUAGUCGUGCGUCUUCUCUCCCCUCAGUUUCUCGCCGCCAUCCGCUCCCUCCUCAGUAGCCGUACGUCUCCUGUCUCCCUCCGACGGCCAUUCUAGCAGGUUGGUACGCUAAAAUUAUUUACUCUGCAAAAAGUAAACUUCAAUGUUUGAUGUAUGUGUAAAGCUUAAUAAUAUGAAUUAAACAUGAUAUUUGAAGCUCUCAAAUGAAACUUGACAAUUAUUGUCUUCUAAUAAUACAUUGGACAUUGUAAUAAUAUAGUGGACAUGCCAUGAUGCCAAAUUUUUCGAAAUCCCAACCCAAUCCUUAGUUUUUAAAUAUAUUUUUCUUUAAAAUUUUAAGGGCAUAUCGAAAUUUUGAAACAUCAAAUUUAAAGGUACUUCUUUUUUUAAAAAAAAAAUAUUAACGUUAGGAAUAUUUUAGGUAGUUUCGGCAACAAAGUUUCAUUCCAUUUGACCAUGUCCAAAUCUACAGGGAGAGGAGAAUUUGAAGGGGGGAAAAAAUGGCGGAUGCUGUAGUUGGUAGUAGUAGUUGAGUACACAAUUAAACCCAUUUUACACCAACUUGAUUACCUGUUCCACUACAAGCAAAAUACCCAUUUUACACCAACUUGAUUACCUGUUCCACUACAAGCAAAAUAUUAAGGAAGUUGAAAAGAAAGUUGAAGCUCUUGGGACUGUUAAGGACAGUGUCCAAAUUUUGGUCAGUCAGGAUAAAGGCAAAAGGGAAUGCAGUUUUUGAUGGAGUUUCUAAAUGGUUGACAAUUGUAAAGGAUGUAUUGGAGAUAGCACAACAAAAUGAAAACCCCUCAUGCUUUAAUUUUGUUGAACGAUAUCAAUUAUCCAGAAAAGCAAAAAAGAGGUGGAAAAUAUUAUUGAACUCAUAAAUGAAGGAAAUGGAUUUAACAAAGAUAAUGUUGGUUAUCCCGUACCUUCUCCCGAUACUAAUUCUCCCACUCUCCCUACCGAUUAUCAAAUUAUCGCGUCAAGAACUUCAAUAGUAGAAGAAAUAAAAGAGGCACUUGCAAACCCUAAUGUCGACACAGUUGGAGUAUGUGGUAUGGGUGGUGUUGGAAAAACUGCUUUAUUGAAUGAAGUUAAGAAGUUAGUGUUGGAAAAGAAUUUGUUUGAUCGAGUGAUUCAAGUGGAAGUUGGUGAAUCCAAAAGUGUAUUCAAUAUUCAAGAACAAAUUAAAGAUGAGUUAAAUAUGGAAUUGAAUAUAGAAUGUGAGGAGGUAAGAGCAUGUCGCCUACGAACUCAUAUUGCCGAGAGGAAAGAGAAUAUGUUGUUUAUGUUGGAUGAUAUAUGGAAGGAACACGAUGUUGAAAAAGAGUUUGGAAUUCCUUGUCAUUCAGAAUCAAGAAAAGAAGGAUGUAAGAUACUUAUGACAAGUUAAACAUGUAUUAAACAAUGAAAUGAACACAGAAAAGACAUUUGAGGUGAAUUCUCUUACCAACGAAGAGUCUAGGAACUUUUUCGUGACAAUAGUUGGUGAGUCUUCGUGUGUUGAAGAUGGACAUAAUAUACAACAAAUAGCAGAGGAUGUGGUAAAAGAAUGUGGAGGGUUACCACUUGCACUUAAAAUUCUAGGAAAAGCA
rnacentral:lncRNA from 1 species